GAGUGAACAUAUCUUUUUUAGAAAUUUUUAUAGCAGCUUUUCUGACUUUGGUCAGAAAACCCAU